AUCCCCAUUUUCCAGAGCGGGAAGCCGACGCUCAACCCCGCGCCGCGACUUGCCCGAGGUCACCCAGUGGGCCAGCGGCUCCGGGACCGAGGCGCGGGGCGGGUUGAGGCCGGCGCUGCAGGCAGCGGCGGCUGCGCGGUGAACGAGGCGGCCUGCGCGGCGGAGUGCUGAGUCCCGAUCCCCGGCUCUGUCCGGCCCACGGAUCCUCAAGCCCGGGCCCCGGGCCCGGCCCCAGCCUCAGCCCUGAGCGUCUCGGGGCGGAUGGCGCGGGGCGGCGGGGGCGGGCGGUGCUGAGCCCUGCGCGGGCCAUGGCCUCGGCCUGCGGGGCGCCGGGCCCGGGGGGCGCCCUGGGCAGCCAGGCCCCCUCCUGGUACC
rnacentral:lncRNA from 1 species